GCUGCAACUCGCCUACAUGAAGUCGGAAUUGCUAGUAAUCGCGGAUCAGCGUGCCGCGGUGAAUACGUUCCCGGGCCUUGUACACACCGCCCGUCACACCAUGGGAGUCGGUAACACCCGAAGCCUGUAGUCUAACCGCAAGGGGGACGCAGUCGAAGGUGGGAUUGAUGACUGGGGUGAAGUCGUAACAAGGUAUC
rnacentral:rRNA from 1 species